rnacentral:rRNA from 1 species
GACGAACGCUGGCGGCGUGCCUAAUACAUGCAAGUAGGACGCAGUUGCGAACGGGUGAGUAACGCGUUGGUAACUACCUAUUCGAGGGGGACAACCAUUGGAAACGAUAGCUAAUACCGCAUACUAGUAUAUGGAUCUGCGUUGUAUUAGCUAGUAGGUCGGGUAAUGGCCUUCCUAGGCAACGAUACAUAGCUGACCUGAGAAGGAGAUCGGCCACACUGGGACGGAGACACGGGCCAGACUCCGACGGGAGGCAGCAGUAGGGAAUCGUCGGGAAUGGGGGGAACACUGACCAAGAGACGCCGCGUGAGUGAAGGAGGUUUUCGGAUCGUAAAGCUCUGUUGUUAAGGAAGCGGGACUUAGCCAGAAAGGGACAGCUAACUACGUGCCAGCAGCCGCGGUGAUUC